ensembl:lncRNA
CUCUGGCUCCAGAAGCUGCCUGGAACACUGCUCAGCACAUAGCUGUGAAGUUAACUGGCCUCAGAUCACAAGUUUACAGCUCUCUGCUCUGAAUGGUGAAGGAGCCAUGCCUGGUGGCCAGAGCCUGUGGACAGCACGCUCUUGUGGGAGACUCAAAACAAACAAACAAACAAACAAACAAAAAACAAAACUGGAGCCUCCCCCCAGAUCUUUGGAAGUCAGAUAGAUGCCCUGAGAUUGAAUCUUCUGCCUGUUCACCCUGCUGCUCUGCUACUCAUCACUCUCCAGGAAAUGGAUGGUGCUGGGGACAGCAUUGAGAAAGACUGGGGAUGGCAAAGGAGCGUGUGCCCUGGUGACCACAGAACUGAGAGUUGAUCAGUCACCCCAACUCUGGUCAGAGGAGAUUUCGGGGAAGGGACUUCAGGAGGGAUGGCCACCAGAGGCAGACUGAGGCCACUUCCCUGUGGCUUACGGACCAGCAGGCAUUCUGGAGACUCUGCCAGGCCAAUGGGCCUGAUGACCCAUACCGGCCGCCUCACAGUCAGCCCAGGUUUAAACAUGGCCUGACUCUGGGGCUUCCUCUGUGUGCUCUUCAGACACAACUCUACAUGUUGUUCCCUCUACAGCGAUUCAGCUCCAAUGACCCCUGGCAUGGUUGACUAGCCCAGCCCAUUAUUUCAUUUAGAGCCCUUCAUCUAAUUAGCAACUGCUGGGGGUGGGGCUGGUGUGGUUUUGCUGGAAGGGCUUGGCUACAUUGGGUGACAUCCUGGAUUUUCUUCCAGUGGCAAGACUCCACUGUGGGGUUCCCACGUUUACUUUGGCUCCAGAAUGUUCUGAGCAAGGCUCCCAAGCUGGACUCAGAGACCAGAGCUGUGGGAACUGCGGCUGUCUCUGCGGCUGAGGGUUGCUGGCAGUGGGCUGAGUCCUCCGUGGUGCCAGCUGUCCCUCUAUGGGGACUGGGGCCAGCCUGAGACUGCCUGGCAUGGUGGCUCUGAGUAUCAUGGAGGGUCCCCUUUGUCCCUGACUCCUGCUUUGCUAAUGCUUGGUUAUUUAUACGUGUAUAUGUGUGUAUAUUUAUAUGUGUAAGUGUAUGUGUGUACCUAGGCACGUGAAAGCCAAGGUUAACCUCUGGUGACAUUCUCAGGUGUUGUACACCUCGGUUCCUUUGGGACAGAGUUUAUUACUGGCCUGGACUUCACAAAUUUUUAUGUGGGUUUUCAGGAUCAAGUACAGCCUACUUACUAUAAUUACUUUAUUUUUGAGACAGAGGCUCACUCUGUACUCAGGCUGGCCUUGAACUCAUGGCCCUCCUGUUGCAGCCUCCUGAGUGCUGAGCUUUUGUGUCUUGUGCUUUUGUGUCUGUGAUGAAUGGCAUCAGGAACCAGGGCAAGGCCCCUUGUCACCUGACUCCUUCCUGGACCCUCUUGGCAUAGUGAGUUUAUUUUCUCUGUACCUUCUUUCAGCACCUUUGUAGACAAGGUCAUAGCAAAGGUUGAACUCUGAGUAUCAUAGAAUCAGAAAAUUCAGAAUGUAGACUCUGAAAGAGACAUUAGUGUCCGUGUCUCAUGGGAACCAACUGCCCUCUAAGCCUCAGUUUUCCC